CCAUCCUGCCAGCACAGCACAUCACAUUGCUCCGCCUCGGGGAGGAAGUAGGGCGGCGGUUACUUGUCCCGCUCCAACUACAAAGCCCAGACUGCCCAGUCCGCAUCCCCAGCAGCCGUGACACCGCCACAGCAGCCUCGGCGCUGCGUUUCUGCCUUCCCGGUGAGACAAAUGGCCGCCAGCGCCACCGACGCCGACGCCGGCGCCGGGCUCAGAUCGGAGUUCCUGCAGGUCCUGCUCAGCCGCCGCCGCGAUCUCCUAGUGCCUCUCACGGUGGAGCAAGGGAGUCCGGUGAAGGACCCGAUGUACCAGAAUCCUCCGUCGACCAUGGAGGCAAAUCCGAUGGAGUCGUGCCCCAGUAAAGAGGUGGAGAACUUGAGGGAGAAGCUGGUUGAAGAAAAUUUCUACCUUAUCACUGAGCUAGGUGAACAAGGACGAGUACCUGUACUUCUGCUGAAGCUUGACGACCCCGUCCCUAGAAGAAAACCAGCUAUCGUGUUCCUGCACAGCUCUUACAAGUGCAAAGAGUGGCUGCGCCCACUGCUUGAGGCAUAUGCUUCCAAGGGCUACGUCUGUGUGGCUAUUGACUCGCGCUAUCACGGCGAAAGGGCCAGCAAUGAAACCACUUACAUAGAUGCACUGAAAUCGGCUUGGCGGAAUGGGGAUACAAUGCCUUUCGUUUUUGACACGGUGUGGGACUUGGUAAAGCUUGGAGACUACCUCGGCGAGAGGGAGGACGUGGAUCCCUGUAGGGUUGGGAUCACCGGCGAAUCGCUGGGAGGGAUGCACGCGUGGUUUGCUGCUUUUGUGGACACACGGUACAGUGUCGUCGUUCCUAUCAUCGGUGUUCAGGGAUUCAGGUGGGCCAUUGACAACAACAUGUGGCUGGCUAGGGUGAAUAGCAUAAGGCCUUUAUUUGAAGAAGCAAGAAUUGACUUAGGAAAGAGCGAAUUAGAUACAGAAGUUGUUGAAAGGGUUUGGGAAAAGAUAGCACCAGGCCUGGACUCGCAAUUUGAUGCCCCCUAUUCACUUCCUUUGCUUGCACCACGGCCGUUGCUACUUCUAAAUGGCGCUGAAGAUCCUCGUUGCCCAAUAAGUGGUUUAGGAGAAGCUAUUUCAAAAACUGCUAAAGCUUACGAAGAAUCUGGUUGCGCGGAGAAGUUCAUGGGGGGUUUCGUCGCUGACCAGAUGACCUCGUCGUGGCAUGCGGUGAGCAUCGGCGUUGGCGCGUGGCACGUUGCCACACGUGUGGCGGCCGCAGUGGCAGCGGAGGCGAUGGCCACCUGGUGACCUCUGGAUGGACGGUGAGGAAGUGGAGGAGUAUACCGUUGCGCCCAUCGAAGAUGGUCCAGGCGUAAUAGUGGAGGAGGAUGCCGUAGUAGUGGAGAAUGCCGUUGGGACUAUGGAAUGGAAGACGCGCCGAGGCAGAGUAGAACCCAGUGCGGGACAGUUGAGGAUGGUAGAUGACGACCAUCGGUGGUGUCGCCUAGCUGCAGUGAUGCUCUCGUCGCACGAUGCGGCGGGCCGCGGGGGAGAGAUGGCUAUGCAUCCUGGUGGUUUACCUCUAGAUUUGCAUAUUUCUAUUUCUAUAUAUUAAAGCGGGGAGGAUUCCUGCAAAGCUACGAUGUCCACGUCAACUUAUAAAACGUCAGCCGUUCGAUGGUGCCUCAACGACAAGGGAAGCACAACACUGAAGGGACUCAAAGCGCAGCGACCAGAAUAUCUUUUUCGCAGAUAUUGUUCACAAUUCCGCUCAUCACCAGAUGCGUCGGGAGACUUCUAGGCUGUCUUUACAUUCUAUAUAUUAAAGCGGGGAGGAUUCCUGCAAAGCUACGAUGUCCACGUCAACUUAUAAAACGUCAGCCGUUCGAUGGUGCCUCAACGACAAGGGAAGCACAACACUGAAGGGACUCAAAGCGCAGCGACCAGAAUAUCUUUUUCGCAGAUAUUGUUCACAAUUCCGCUCAUCACCAGAUGCGUCGGGAGACUUCUAGGCUGUCUUUACAUACGAAUGGACUCUAGCGAACAGAAGUGCCUGUGAGCAUUGUCGUUUCUCCAAAAAGGAUGACACCUUCAAUGUUCGCGACAAUCCAACAGCGACGGCGAGGAACCUUUGGCCCUCCGGAAAGGACCCGGAGUCUGAAGUUGUUUAGGUCGGGUUUGGAUCUCCUCUGUCUUCCUCGGUUGGCUUUUUCCUGUAUCAUAUUUAUCAAGUCUUUACAUUUUAGUAUCCUUUGUUUCCGAUUUCCCAAAGUUCAUUGCAGAGCCUGGAGUCGGCCAUAAAAUCACAAUCGACAUGGUGAAGGCAGCAAGCGAAUGGUUCGAUCGCUUCCUGCAUGCAUGAAUGCAAAAGUUAUUGUCGCCCAUCAUUUGUUCUAUAUCGAUUGUGAUUUGUCAACAGCAUCCCUUAGUUGAAGUAUUUAUGUCCUCGUCUGUGUACCUUGGUAAUUGCCGGUCGGACAAACAUCUCUAUCUCUAUUUAUUAUAUUAGGAUACGUUUGGUUGCUGGACAAAUGAGGGCAGAAUAGAAUGGCUCCUAAGUUGGGAAUGGAAUGAUUCCUCAUAUUAUUUGGUUGGAAGGAUGAGAUGAUCCUUGUUUUUUGUUUGGUUAGAGAUAUAACUGGGGAUAGAUUGUUCAUGUCCUUUGUUUGGUUCGAGAACCUUACUAUGAUAUGCUAGUUGAUCAUUUAACGAUUUGAA